GGUUAGCGGCGGACGGGUGAGUAACACGUGGGCAACCUGCCUGUAAGACUGGGAUAACUUCGGGAAACCGGAGCUAAUACCGGAUAAUUCAUUUCCUCUCAUGAGGAAAUGCUGAAAGACGGUUUCGGCUGUCACUUACAGAUGGGCCCGCGGCGCAUUAGCUAGUUGGUGAGGUAACGGCUCACCAAGGCAACGAUGCGUAGCCGACCUGAGAGGGUGAUCGGCCACACUGGGACUGAGACACGGCCCAGACUCCUACGGGAGGCAGCAGUAGGGAAUCUUCCACAAUGGACGAAAGUCUGAUGGAGCAACGCCGCGUGAGCGAUGAAGGCCUUCGGGUCGUAAAGCUCUGUUGUUAGGGAAGAACAAGUACCGGAGUAACUGCCGGUACCUUGACGGUACCUAACCAGAAAGCCACGGCUAACUACGUGCCAGCAGCCGCGGUAAUACGUAGGUGGCAAGCGUUGUCCGGAAUUAUUGGGCGUAAAGCGCGCGCAGGCGGUCCUUUAAGUCUGAUGUGAAAGCCCACGGCUCAACCGUGGAGGGUCAUUGGAAACUGGGGGACUUGAGUGCAGAAGAGGAAAGCGGAAUUCCACGUGUAGCGGUGAAAUGCGUAGAGAUGUGGAGGAACACCAGUGGCG
rnacentral:rRNA from 1 species